AUUGCAGAAUCCCGUGAACCAUCGAGUCUUUGAACGCAAGUUGCGCCCGAAGCCAUUAGGCCGAGGGCACGUCUGCCUGGGCGUCA
rnacentral:rRNA from 1 species